GGGGUUCUUUAUAUGAAUCUGUUCCCUGCCCCCCCACAGGUGAGAUCAUCAAGGGCCAGGAAGCCCCUCCCUACUCCAUACCCCCUACCAUGACUUAUCUGGAUAUUCAAAGUGGAAAUAAUAGCUCCUUCUGUGGAGGGUUCCUGGUGUCAGAGAACUUCGUGCUGAAGGCUGCUCACUGCAAUGGAGAGUAAGCGCCUCUGUGUUGGGCAGGUCAGGCGUUAGCAGGUGAUGGGGGAGCCGUGAGCUCUGGCGCCAUCAUGGGUUGCAGGGAAGGAGCUGUGAGUACAAGAGGAUGGGAGAGCAGAGCCCAGGGAUCUGAUCUGCUCACGGGGCAUCGGCCUGUCUCCAGGGGUCUGUGGAAACCAUUGUCAAGAUCCAGCGCUGGGUAAAUCAGUGGAGCUAUGGCUGAUUGACACCAGCUGGGGGUCCGGCCCACUGCACCAGCUUUGGAGGUCCCCCAUUGUCCUGAUCUGUACAUGAAGGAGCUCACAGGGCUCUGGCCUAGGGGGAGCUGUGUAUAGACCCCUGUCUGGAUCUAACUGGGGAGGGGUCACCGGGCUGCAAGGGAGCUGAGACCCAGGGGCCAGGAGGACAAUGGGGAGUGAAGGAGCUCAGGGGAACACACAAGGGGCUGGUAGAGACACAGGCUGGGACCCCAAUAUCACAAGGUAGGGGCUUUAUGCUGCAACUGGCACCCCUAGCAGAAAAGAGCCCCGUGUCCCAUUCCCUGCCCCAAUAAUCCAGCCAGUACUCUGCCCUGAGGUCAGAUCAGACCAGCCAUGUGUCUAGUGGUAUGUACAUUAUUUCAGGCUGAAAGCUGAGUCCUAGUUCUCUUCCUAAGAGCCCCCAAAAGAAGUAUUCAUGAGUCAGACCCACAUGGGCCCAUCCCCAACUCAUGUGUGCUGUUACCUCUAACACACCAUGUGUUCCUCUUGGCUUUACAGCAUCAUCACUGUCAGGUUGGGAACCCCUAACCUUGGGAAUUGGGAACACAAUGAACACAAUGAAGAUCCCUGUCCAUCGCUCAAUCCCCCACCCGCAAUACAACAAAGUGACCACUAACAAUGACAUCAUGCUGUUGCAGCUGGCCCAGCAGGCCAGAUUUAGUUUCCAGGUUUGGCCCAUACUCCUGGCCCGGAAUGGGGACACAGUUAUGCCAGGGUCCAUGUGCAGCAUGACUGGCUGGGGCCACAUGAAUGUGUUCCCUGGGAAGGCCUCAGAUGUGCUGAUGGAGGUGGAUCUGGAUAUGAUGGAGGACAGGGUCUGCAGUAGGCGCUUUCCGAGGCGAUUCUGGGGGGCCCCUGGUGUGUGGCAGGGUGGUGCAGGGCAUCGUCUCUUUUGGUCCUAUUGAUGCUUCACCCCCUCAAGUGUACACACGGAUCUCUGAGUUCAUCCCCUGGAUAAAGGCAACAAUGUGAAAUCUACAAGGCUUGGACCCGCUGGAAUUCUCCUCAUGACCCGGAAUUGCCCUGUUCUUGACACAUGAAGCCCAACUCUUCAUCGUCCUAUAUCUCUACAUUAGAAACAAGAGUGGAAUUCAGUUAGAAACAUGGAAAUUCCUAUAAGAAACUGAAGAAAACUUCCAAUGAGAAUUCAAAGUGGUACUUCAUUUAGAAAGGAAAUGACAUUUAAGUUAGAAAACACCUAAAAUUUCAGUAUGAAACUAAACAAAUAUUUCAUACAAUAUAGGAUCAUACAACAUCAUCCAAUCCAGGACAUGCAAUCAUGUAUUAUAAUCCCCAUCUUCAAACCAGCUAGGUUUCUUAACCCCUCACCUACUGUUUCAAUUACAGUCCAAAUGUGAAUUUCAUUUAGAAAGGAAACAAUAUUGCAAUAAGAAAUUAAAUAAGAAUUUGACCUAAAUUACAUUUUCAAAUCCAAUUGUACCGAAAUUUCAGUCAAAUAGAAAAUGAACAAUUACAUUGACUACAAAUUGAAAAUUUCAGAUUGAAAUGAAACAAAAUACAUUUGAAUUUCAAAGGAAAAUUGGAAUUCCAAAAGGAAAAGAAACAAAGCUUUCACUGUGAGACAAAAGGGGAGUUUUAAUUAGAAAAAAAGUGAAAAUCUCAAGUUGGUACAAAAUGAAAACUUCAGGUCGAACCAUAAACAAAAGCAUCAUCUCGAUAUGAAAUGGGCAAUUUAAUUUGAAAUGCAACAAAACAAAAUUUUCAAUUAGAAACGAAAUGAAUAUUUUCAUGUUGAAAUCAAACACAAAUUUUCAUUUCCUUUCAUUUUGGUUUGAUGUUUUCCAGCCCCAUUUUUGAUUCAGCCCUAUUUUUGAAAUGAUAAAUUGUCAGAAAAGGACAAGCAGGCCUGCUCUGUACAUAAUCCACCCCUAGAUAGGGACAGAGAGGCUCCCAGAGCUGGUGUCCUGCCAAGCCGCCAGCUUGCUUGUGUACCAAAAUAUUAACCAGCGAGGCACUGGAACCAACUGUCUUGCAUUCAGAUGUUCAGUCAUUUCUCCUCCACGCCAGUCCCCCCUGCUCCAGCUCAUUUAUUUGGCUUUCUGCUGUCUAGACUUGCAAUGAAUAAAAACGAAGUUACAAAACCAAAAACCAAAA